GUGGGGAAUCUUCCGCAAUGGGCGAAAGCCUGACGGAGCAACGCCGCGUGAACGAUGAAGGUCUUAGGAUCGUAAAGUUCUGUUGUUGGGGACGAAGGGUAAGAAUCAUAAUACGGUUUUUAUUUGACGGUACCUAACGAGGAAGCCACGGCUAACUACGUGCCAGCAGCCGCGGUAAUACGUAGGCGGCAAGCGUUGUCCGGAAUUAUUGGGCGUAAAGGGAGCGCAGGCGGGAAACUAAGCGGAUCUUAAAAGUGCGGGGCUCAACCCCGUGAUGGGGUCCGAACUGGUUUUCUUGAGUGCAGGAGAGGAAAGCGGAAUUCCCAGUGUAGCGGUGAAAUGCGUAGAUAUUGGGAAGAACACCAGUGGCGAAGGCGGCUUUCUGGACUGUAACUGACGCUGAGGCUCGAAAGCUAGGGUAGCGAACGGGAUUAGAUACCCGUGUAGUCC
rnacentral:rRNA from 1 species